rnacentral:lncRNA from 1 species
AUUGGAGUCCUCAUCCUGAGUUCAAAUCUGGACUGAGACAUUGGCUGUGUUACCCUGGCGAGCUGGAGUUUGGGACAUGAUUGAGAUUGCCAGCUCCGCUCAUGUUGGAUCAUUCCAAGAAUCUUCUUCCUUCGGGGACCUGAAGUGAAUGUGGAACCGUGUGUCUUGUCUCUCAAAGAUGAAAACCAAAGACCACAAGCUCACCUACAAGGAUAUGAAAAGACCUGCAUGAACUGAUGCAGAGUGAAAUGAGCAGAACCAGGAAAACACUGAACAUAGUAACAGCAAUAUUGUGGAAUGAUCAACUGUGAAGGACUCAGCUGUUCUCAGCAAUGCAAUGACCCAGGAUAAUUCU